rnacentral:rRNA from 1 species
UACGGAGGGGACUAGCGUUGUUCGGAAUUACUGGGCGUAAAGCGCACGUAGGCGGAUUUGUAAGGCAGGGGUGAAAUCCCGGGGCUCAACCUCGGAACUGCCUUUGAUACUGCAAAUCUCGAGUCCGGAAGAGGUGAGUGGAAUUCCUAGUGUAGAGGUGAAAUUCGUAGAUAUUAGGAAGAACACCAGUGGCGAAGGCGGCUCACUGGUCCGGUACUGACGCUGAGGUGCGAAAGCGUGGGGAGCAAACAGG